rnacentral:rRNA from 1 species
GGCAUGCUUUACACAUGCAAGUCGAACGGCAGCACGGGGGCAACCCUGGUGGCGAGUGGCGAACGGGUGAGGAAUACAUCGGAACGUGUCUUUAAGUGGGGGAUAACGCAUCGAAAGGUGUGCUAAUACCGCAUAAUCUCUGAGGAGAAAAGCAGGGGAUCGCAAGACCUUGCGCUUUUAGAGCGGCCGAUGCCUGAUUAGCUUGUUGGUAAGGUAAAAGCUUACCAAGGCUUCGAUCAGUAGCUGGUCUGAGAGGACGGCCUGCCACACUGGGACUGAGACACGGCCCAGACUCCUACGGGAGGCAGCAGUGGGGAAUUUUGGACAACGGGGGCAACCCUGAUCCAGCCAUGCCGCGUGAGUGAAGAAGGCCUUCGGGUUGUAAAGCNCUUUCAGCCGGAACGAAACGGUUACGGUUAAUACCCGUGACUAAUGACGGUACCGGAAGAAGAAGCACCGGCUAACUACGUGCCAGCAGCCGCGGUAAUA